GGCCGUCACUCCGCUCAGCGCAGCCCCACGUCGGGGGGGCGGGGGGGGCUCAGCCGGACCCCACUUCGCCCUCUCCACCCCUGGGGGGGUUCCGCCGUGGGACGGCAGCUCUGCACGCGGCGAUGACAGAGAAGGAGGCUGCGGAGCCGCCCGCCGCGGGGGGGGCCGCCAAGAGCCGGCUGCAGAGGCGGAAGGAACUCUUCCACCGCAAACCCAAAGCGGAGCCCCCCCCGGAGGUGCGGCCAACGGG
rnacentral:lncRNA from 1 species